GUGAGAUCCCUCCACCUUCUUCAGGAACCCUCUACCUUGUGAGGAGGAAUCCACCCAGAAGAGAGGGCUCUCGCUCGACUAGGCUGGUCCCCGAUCUCGAGCUUCUAGCACUCUGAUAUAAUGGCAGGCAUGGGGAAGGGCAGUGAAGUUUGGACUCCCGGCUGCCAUGUCAUUGAAGGUCUGAGACUCCUCCUUCACCUGAAGAAUGGGGACAACUGUGAAGCUUCCAUACAACUCCUUUGCUUCCAUCCUACUGUCUGGAAGUUAGCUCCACUCCACAUCUACCUCCUGAGAUGCCAGGAAUAUAGCCUCUACUCCAGAUAUCCAACCAAAGACUGGAGGUUUCAUCCCUGAAGAGGAGGGAGAGAACAGAUACUAAGCCUAUGUCCUCCCACCAGUCUCCCCACUGGCUCUGGGCAGAGCUGUUUCCUCACCAACUUAGAAGUUCCUUCUGCCUGAGAAGCUGACGUCUGUGUAGCCUGCAAGGGUGAUGUGGAGAGAGACACAUCCUCUCCUGCCUGGAUCCCCAAGCGUCACGGGAGGCACCCGAACCACCAUCCCAGAUUUGUUUCGGACACGCGCACCCUGUCUUGUGAAUCAAAGUGGCCCCCGAAGGGAGCCAAUUGAUUUCUUUUUCCCAGUGUUUUUCCAAGUGCUCCAAGUGAACUAGAGUACCUUUUCCUUUGAAAUUCCUAUAUUUAGCCUACUGGAAUGCUAUUUUGUUUUUCAAAGAAUGUAUCAUCUAAUUUGAGCUUUUUUCAUUGCACAUGACAGGAAAAUCCUUGUUCGAUGUAUUUAAGUAAAUAAUAAGAAUUUAUUGGCUCACAUAGCUAAAUAGUCUGGAGGCUUC